rnacentral:rRNA from 1 species
GAUGAACGCUAGCGGGAGGCCUAAUACAUGCAAGUCGAACGGUAAGGUCCCUUCGGGGAUACACGAGUGGCGGACGGGUGCGUAACGCGUACGAAACAUACCUUCAACAGGGAGAUACCUCCGGGAAACUGGAAAUAAUACCCCAUAGUAUUGAGAUAUCGCAUGAUAUCUCAAUUAAAGCUUUGGUCGGUUGAAGAUUGUCGUGCGUCUGAUUAGCUAGUUGGUGAGGUAACGGCUCACCAAGGCGACGAUCAGUAGCUGGUCUGAGAGGAUGAUCAGCCACACUGGAACUGAGACACGGUCCAGACUCCUACGGGAGGCAGCAGUA